rnacentral:rRNA from 1 species
UACAGAGGUCCCAAGCGUUGUUCGGAUUCACUGGGCGUAAAGGGUGCGUAGGCGGUCAGGUAAGUCUGAUGUGAAAUCUCGGGGCUUAACCCCGAAACUGCAUUGGAUACUAUUUGGCUUGAGGAAUGGAGGGGAGACUGGAAUGCUCGGUGUAGCAGUGAAAUGCGUAGAUAUCGAGCGGAACACCAGUGGCGAAGGCGAGUCUCUGGACAUUUCCUGACGCUGAGGCACGAAAGCCAGGGGAGCAAACGGG